rnacentral:rRNA from 1 species
CCUACGUGAUGCAGCAGUGGGGGAUAUUUCACAAUGGGCGCAAGCCUGAUGCAGCGACACCGCGUGAGCGAAGAAGUAUUUCGGUAUGUAAAGCUCUAUCAGCAGGGAAGAAAAUGACGGUACCUGACUAAGAAGCUCCGGCUCAAUACGUGCCAGCAGCCGCGGUAAUACGUAUGGAGCAAGCGUUCUCCGGAUUUACUGGUGGUAAAGGGAGCGUAGGCGGCCCUGUAAGUCUGAUGUUAAAAUUUGGGGCUCAACACCAAACGUGCAUUGGCAACUGCAGGGCGUGAGGGCCGGAGAGGCAGGCGGAAUUCCUAGUGUAGCGGGGAAAUGCGGAGAUAUGAGGAGGAACACCAGGGGCGAAGGCGGCCUGCUGGACGGUAACUGACGCUGAGGCUCGAAAGCGUGGGGAGCAAACAGGAUUAGAUACCCUGGUAGUC